rnacentral:lncRNA from 1 species
UGAUACACCUUCGCUCACUCUUCAUCCUUUUCCAACCGUAAACCCUCCGUCUCCACCCUCGCCGUUCACCCUUUCUCCAUCGUCACUCUUCACUUCCGCCAUCCACCGCACAAACCACCGCCACUAUCAUGACCCCUCCACCCCAGCUCCAACCGUCGACGCGAAACCCUUCUUACUGAGCUUCAUCGAUGAAGUCAAGGCAACAACAACAUCAGAAACAUCGCUCCGUUUCAUGAUGUUGACCACACGAGGCAGCCAUAACUUCGAAUCGUUCGGUUGAAGGCCG